UACGUAGGGUGCAGGCGUUAAUCGGAAUUACUGGGCGUAAAGCGUGCGCAGGCGGUCUGCUAAGAGAGGUGUGAAAUCCCCGGGCUUAACCUGGGAAUGGCAUUUGGGACUGCAAGGCUGGAGUGCGGCAGAGGAGACUGGAAUUCCUGGUGUAGCAGUGAAAUGCGUAGAGAUCAGGCGAAACACCCGUGGCGAAGGCGGCCAGCUGGGCCGUCCCUGACGCUGAGGCGCGAAGGCGUGGGGAGCGAACGGG
rnacentral:rRNA from 1 species